GGCUCGUUGGUUUGGGGGUUUGAUUCUCGCUUAGGGUCCGAGAGGUCCAAGGUUCAAAUCCCGGGCAAGCCC